rnacentral:pre_miRNA from 1 species
AGCUUUCUGAAUCAGUGCAGAGACUUCGUCAGACACCAACCCAUUAAGGCUGAUCAAUCUUCCAAGAUAAGAAAAAUC